AGCUUGCUUCUGGGGAUCAGUGGCGAACGGGUGAGUAACACGUGAGCAACCUGCCCCUGACUCUGGGAUAAGCGCUGGAAACGGCGUCUAAUACUGGAUACGAGACGUGAUCGCAUGGUCAACGUUUGGAAAGAUUUUUCGGUUGGGGAUGGGCUCGCGGCCUAUCAGCUUGUUGGUGAGGUAAUGGCUCACCAAGGCGUCGACGGGUAGCCGGCCUGAGAGGGUGACCGGCCACACUGGGACUGAGACACGGCCCAGACUCCUACGGGAGGCAGCAGUGGGGAAUAUUGCACAAUGGGCGGAAGCCUGAUGCAGCAACGCCGCGUGAGGGAUGACGGCCUUCGGGUUGUAAACCUCUUUUAGCAGGGAAGAAGCGAGAGUGACGGUACCUGCAGAAAAAGCACCGGCUAACUACGUGCCAGCAGCCGCGGUAAUACGUAGGGUGCAAGCGUUAUCCGGAAUUAUUGGGCGUAAAGAGCUCGUAGGCGGUUUGUCGCGUCUGCUGUGAAAUCUGGAGGCUCAACCUCCAGCCUGCAGUGGGUACGGGCAGACUAGAGUGCGGUAGGGGAGAUUGGAAUUCCUGGUGUAGCGGUGGAAUGCGCAGAUAUCAGGAGGAACACCGAUGGCGAAGGCAGAUCUCUGGGCCGUAACUGACGCUGAGGAGCG
rnacentral:rRNA from 1 species